AUGAACGCUGGCGGCGUGCCUAACACAUGCAAGUCGAACGGAGUCCAGCCUUUAAGACCUUCGGGUCAAAGAGGGGAAGACUGAGUGGCGGACGGGUGAGUAACACGUGGCAACCUGGCUCAUAGAGGGGGAUAACAGAGAGAAAUUUCUGCUAAUACCGCAUAAGCACACACUGCCGCAUGGCAGAGGGUGAAAAGAGAAUCGCUAUGAGAUGGACCCGCGUCUGAUUAGCCAGUUGGCAGGGUAAGAGCCUACCAAAGCGACGAUCAGUAGCCGAUCUGAGAGGAUGAACGGCCACAUUGGGACUGAGACACGGCCCAAACUCCUACGGGAGGCAGCAGUGGGGGAUAUUGCACAAUGGGGGGAACCCUGAUGCAGCGACGCCGCGUGAGUGAAGAAGUAUUUCGGUAUGUAAAGCUCUAUCAGCAGGGAAGAUAAUGACAGUACCUGAAUAAGAAGCCCCGGCUAACUACGUG
rnacentral:rRNA from 1 species